rnacentral:tRNA from 1 species
GAAAAAUUAAGGAAUGAUAAACCAGUUAACGUCUAAGAACACACUGGAUUCAACCUCGGCAGCUUUGACAGCAGCUC